GUUAAAAAACUAAGCCCGUGACAUGGAAAGUCAACUAGCCAUGCAAGACAGUCAGUGGUAAGUGUCAGAAACAUGAAGGGAGCUCUUGGGUAGAACAGCUACAUUUGACUGGCCACACAGGGAGGGGUUGGGGAAAUUGUCUUUGGCCUAAUCUGGACUCUAGAGUAGAAGAGAAUUCCCACUGACCUGUGGGUGAGGCCUCAGCCAAGUGACUCCUGAGACAUUCUGAGGAUCCAAGCAUCCAUUUCAAAGGAUGGCAGCCAUUUAAUCCCUGGCGGCUUCCUUUCUUCAUCUUAAAAAGAGAACAUUGGAAUAGAUCAUUGCUAAAAAAACCACCUUUCACAGACUGUGGGUCUAUAUUUAUUUGUGAGACAGAUGCUGCCUCAAAGAAAACCAUAUACGCAUAUAUCAUGGCUUCAAGGAACACCCAGCCAGCAGAGUCCAGAAUCUAUGAUGAAAUCCUGCAGUCCAAGGUGCUUCCCUCCAAGGAAGAGCCAGUGAACACAGUUUAUUCCGAAGUGCAGUUUGCUGAUAAGAUGGGGAAAGCCAGCACACAGGACAGUAAACCUCCUGGGACUUCAAGCUAUGAAAUUGUGAUCUAGGCUGCUGGGCUGAAUUCUCCCUCUGGAAACUGAGUUACAACCACCAAUACUGGCAGGUUCCCUGGAUCCAGAUCUUGUCUGCCCAGCUCUUACUGGGAGAUUGCAAACUGCCACAUCUCAGCCUGUAAGCAAAGCAGGAAACCUUCUGCUGGGCAUAGCUUGUGCCU
rnacentral:sRNA from 1 species